rnacentral:rRNA from 1 species
UGGGGAAUAUUGCACAAUGGGCGCAAGCCUGAUGCAGCCAUGCCGCGUGUAUGAAGAAGGCCUUCGGGUUGUAAAGUACUUUCAGCGGGGAUGAAGGGAGUAAAGUUAAUACCUUUGCUCAUUGACGUUACCCGCAGAAGAAGCACCGGCUAACUCCGUGCCAGCAGCCGCGGUAAUACGGAGGGUGCAAGCGUUAAUAGGAAUUACUGGGCGUAAAGCGCACGCAGGCGGUUUGUUAAGUCAGAUGUGAAAUCCCCGGGCUCAACCUGGGAACUGCAUCUGAUACUGGCAAGCUUGAGUCUCGUAGAGGGGGGUAGAAUUCCAGGUGUAGCGGUGAAAUGCGUAGAGAUCUGGAGGAAUACCGGUGGCGAAGGCGGCCCCCUGGACGAAGACUGACGCUCAGGUGCGAAAGCGUGGGGAGCAAACA